CAACGAGGCUUGGCUGCCUUUGGAGGAGUAUCUGCCACUGUUCUCCUGUGGGACAUUGCUUUAUACUAGGAAGGAUAUGGAGGUUAUUGGAAGUUCAUCAGGGCGUGGGGCGGAGGUUAAGCUGAAAACUUUUGCUCAGCAUUCACCAACCACUUUCCAACUUCUGCAGGGUCCUACAGACAGCAUCUUCCUUCCCUACACAGCCCUGAUUCAUCCCCAGAGCAUGUCCAUUUUGUGCACUGAAUAAUAUAGGGAGUCCUACUGAAAAAUAGUCACACUGAGGCUUUGAACUUUGAGGUUGUAAGAAGACAUUAUUCUGGGUGCAGCCUUGGAACAGAGAGCCCGCAGGCAAGCUUGGAAAGGAAUGAAGAUGGCGACAGGAGAGAG